GCUCAAAUUUGAAAUCUGGCCUCGGCCCGAGUUGUAAUUUGCAGAGGAUGUUUCUGGCGCGGUGCCUUCCGAGUUCCCUGGAACGGGACGCCACAGAGGGUGAGAGCCCCGUAUGGUCGGACACCAAGCCUGUGUGAAACUCCUUCGACGAGUCAGUAGUUUGGGAAUGCUGCUCUAAAUGGGAGGUAAAUCUCUUCUAAAGCUAAAUACCGGCCAGAGACCGAUAGCGCACAAGUAGAGUGAUCGAAAGAUGAAAAGCACCUUGAAAAGGGGGUUAAAUAGUACGUGAAAUUGUUGAAAGGGAAGCACUUGUGACCAGACUUGGGCCGGGCGGCUCAUCAGGGGUUCUCCCCUGUGCACUCCGCCCGGCACAGGCCAGCAUCGGUUCUCGUGGGGGGACAAGACCGUCGGGAACGUACCACCCUCCGGGGUGUGUUAUAGCCCGGCGGACGAUACCCUCGUGGGGACCGAGGUUCGCGCUCCCCAAGGAUGCUGGCGUAAUGGUCACCAGUGAC
rnacentral:rRNA from 1 species